rnacentral:rRNA from 1 species
AACGAACGCUGGCGGCAGGCUUAACACAUGCAAGUCGAACGCAUCCUUCGGGGUGAGUGGCAGACGGGUGAGUAACGCGUGGGAACGUGCCCUUCAGUUCGGGAUAACCCAGGGAAACUUGGGCUAAUACCGGAUACGUGCGAGAGCAGAAAGAUUUAUCGCUGAAGGAGCGGCCCGCGUCUGAUUAGCUAGUUGGUGGGGUAAUGGCCGACCAGGGAGACGAUCAGUAGCUGGUCUGAGAGGAUGAUAAGCGACAUUGGGGCUGAGACACGGCCCAAACUCCUACGGGAGGCAGCAGUGGGGAAUAUUGGACAAUGGGCGCAAGCCUGAACCAGCCAUGCCGCGUGAGUGAUGAAGGCAUUAGGGUUGUAAAGCUCUUUCGUCCGGGACGAUAAUGACGGUACCGGAAGAAGAAGCCCCGGCUAACUUCGUGCCAGCCGCCGCAGUAA